UGAAGCUGAAGUUUCUUUUUGUUCUUUUAGGGUGAGCCUGGUGAAGAUGGCAUCAAGGGGACACCCGGGGUUCCUGGAAAGAGGGGUUCUGAUGGUAGAAGGGGGCCUUCUGGACCACAGGGUGUCUCCAGGGCACCGGGACCUCAGGGCUCAGCUGGAGACUCAGGAACAAGAUGAACUCAGGUGAUGAGACACUUACUUACUCCUCGGCCUUUGUGCUACGGCAGCGGCAGAAACAACAGGAAUCAGAAGAGGCCGUAGC